CAGUAUGGCCCAGUACAGCCCAAUAUGGCCCAGUACAGUCCAAUAUAUCCCAGUACAGCCUAGUAUAGCCCAAUAUGGCCCAGUACAGCCCAAUAUGGCCCAGUACGACCCAGUGCCUCCCCUGCGGACACCCCAGUAUAAACCAGUACGAAGCACUACAGCAGCCCAGCUGGGAACUCCUGCGCCUUCAUCGCCCCGGGCCGGACCAGUUUGGACUGGGAAACGGGCUCGGAUGCAACUGGGAGCCCUGCGCACGCAGCGCCUGGAGUCAGACCAGUAUGGACCAGUAUGGACCAGUAUGAGAUCCCAACUAGGAUCGCUGCAUUGGCACGGCCGGAGCCAUCCCAGCGCCAACCAGUACGGACCAGUACAGCACCCAACUGGGGACUCUUCACCCGCGUGGCCUUGCGUCCUCCCAGUACGGACCAGUAUGGACCAGUCCAGCAUCGUGCCCAGGAUUUCUUCACCCGCGUGGCCUUGCGUCCUCCCAGUAUGGACCAGUCCGGACCAGUCCAGCAUCUCACCUGGGAUCUCUUCAUCCACGUGGCCUUGUGUCCUCCCAGUAUGGACCAGUACGGACCAGUAGGGCGCCCCGGCUGGGAUCUCAUUGCACAAACGGGUCCUCCCAGUACAGACCAGUACGGACCAGUCCCCGCGCCCCCCGGGUGCU
rnacentral:lncRNA from 1 species